UUGCUUCAGCAGCACAUAUACUAAAAUUGGAGUGAUACAGAGAAGAUUAGCACAGCACCUGCACAAGGAUGACUCACAAAUUCCUGAAGGAAUCACACUAAGA